rnacentral:rRNA from 1 species
AACGAACGCUGGCGGCAUGCCUAACACAUGCAAGUCGAACGAAACCUUCGGGCUUAGUGGCGCACGGGUGCGUAACGCGUGGGAACCUGCCCGUAGGUUCGGAAUAACUCACCGAAAGGGGUGCUAAUAACGGUUAAUGUCAUCGGACCAAAGAUGUAUCGCCUUGGGAUGGGGCCGUGUUGGAUUAGCGGGUUGGUAGGGUAAAAGCAUACCAAGGCGACGAUCCAGAGCUGGUCUGAGAGGAUGAUCAGUCAGACUGGGACUAAGGCACGGCCCAGAAUGGGACGGGAGGGAGGGGAGGGUUGUAUAGGGGGAGGGGCCAUGGCCUGGUACAGCAACGCCGGGGGAGAGGUGAUGGGCUUAGGGUUGUGAAGCUGUUUUAGCCGAGAUGUUAAUGACGGUACCGGGAGAAUAAGCACCGGCUAACUCCGUG